rnacentral:lncRNA from 1 species
AAAUCCAACUUUUAAACGCUUUGUGAACAGGCCCAGAGGCAAAGUCCUGGGCGCAAACCCACGAGCCGAGCUGCGAGGCUGAGAGGAAGUGCUAGUCCAGCCCAACCCCGCACUGGAUUUGGUGUGGAAACCGUCAGAGGUAAAAGGGAUCGCUCAGAUGGGGGGCCCGCGGUGAGGGCAGGAGGCAAAACCCCACCGCCCGGCGCUCCCAGCCAGCGCGCAGCGGGAGGCGGCUGUGCCGCGGGCCCGUCCUUCGCGUCCGAGCUGCCGCGCACGCCCCGCGCGGAGCGCGGCACCGGGAGCCUCCGGUGGGGCUGGGUCCCGUCUCCCGCCCCAUCCGGCGCUUUGUCCCAGCCCCGGUGGCCGGCGGCCCCGCUGCGGGCCCCCGGGCCGCGGUGACAGCCCCCGUCCCCAUAGGGCUGCGAGCCCGGGAGUCCCUAUAGGCUGGCGACCGGUCGCCCGCCGGACCUCACCCAGGCGGGACGCGGCAGGAGGACGCUCGCCCUGCCGGAGGGGCCGCCGCCGCCGCCCGAAGCGCACGCAGGCCAAGCUCAGGCGCCAAAAGCCUUGGACUUCGAAACACACGACUUCCAACAUCCUAAGCUUACCCAAAAAUUCUCGACGAAAUACGCCAUGACCAUCGUGCCGCCGCCGCGCCGGGUUCCGCGUCCGCGCCCGCCCGCCGCUGUGUAAACACGGCCCGGCCCCCACAGCACCCCCGCCUUUCGCCGCCGCCGCCUUCUUCCCAGAGACCGGCCCGCACCUUCCAGGGCGCAUGCGCCACCUAGCGGCUGCCGCAGCUGGGCGAGCACUUAGACGCCACGGCCACGGUGUGCGCAUGCGCCCUGUCCCCAUUCUCGGGUGUUGGUAGAUCUCUCUGCAUCCCGGGCGCGGCUGGGUUGAGUGUUCUCUUAGGAAUGGUGGAGAACUGGGUCCUUGAGGAGUCACCGGGGAGACUGCUCGCACUGUUUGUGGUGCGACGGGCACUGGCCCAGGGACAGAGGGAAGAGAAGGGCCAGCCAGCGGCAGUGGAGUCGGCAGGCUGGCUGCCCACUCGCUUUCUCUCCUCACAAGACUCGCUUCCCCGGCCUUCGAGGAUCUCGAACGGACUAUAGUCUGGACUCGCUGGGCUGGAGGAAACUUGGCCGCUGGCCACCCGGAGGAGACUGAGAAGCCUUUGGUCAACAGGGCGCCUUUCCUUGAACCAAAACAAAACUUUCCGAAGCCGGAAAGGAAACGCCCAGUGUCGCCUGAGAGCCCUGGAGCUGCGCGAGACCCAGGCACUGAGUGCGGCCUCGGCCUCUGACCUCUAACACGCCGGGAACAAACCAGCUGGGGCGGCCCGCAGGCCUGCGGGAGCGGAAUGUGACCCGAAACCGACGGACUUCCUGACCCAUAGUCCAUAGUUCUCUUCAGCAACUUGAACAUUUUGGAAAAAGAAACAAGUCUUAACAUGCCACGACCUAAUGGAAAAACUAAAUCCCCUUCCUACACCUUGCUUUCCAAAAGUUAAAAAAAAAUAGUUAAACGCUAUUAGAGGUCUCAAGUUCACUGUCACCAGAUCAGCUAGGUCCAGAAUCUUCAGUUCUUGAAGCCAAGCCCUACAAAUAGAUUUAUUGUAGCAUAUCACACCUCUUCAGGUGACUUAAAACAAUGAGAAUUCAUGAGAAAUUAUCUUCAUCCUCAAGUAAAAAUCAUGAGGUGCCUUUCACAUGGAUGAAAUUGCCCUGCUGUCUCAUGUUUCGUCAACAGGAAGAAAAAUACGUCUUCAAGUUUGUUUUGUUUGUUUGAGAUGGAAUCUCGCUAUGUCGCCCAGGCUGGAGGUGCAGUGGCGCGAUCUCGGCUCACUGCAACCUCCGCCUCCUGGAUUCAAGCGAUUCUCCUGCCUCAGCCUCCCGAGUAGCUGGGACUACAGACGCCCGCCACCAUGCCCGGCUAAUUUUUUUGUAUUUUUAGUAGAGACGGGGUUUCACUGUGUUAGCCAGGAUGGUCUGGAUCUCCUGACCUCAUGAUCCGCCUGCCUUGGUCUUCCAAAGUGCUGGGAUUACAGGCAUGAGCCACCGCACUCGGCUGUCUUCAUGUUUUAUCUUAUCUUCCCUGACGCCUAUAUUUCUGAUUUGUGUUCUUUUAAUUCAUGACAAUUUGUUUAGUCUCAACUUUUAUUUGCUCUAUGGUGAGAAUGCUUUAUCUACUAUUUGUUUUGCGGGGGCGGGGGCUGGGUAUUCCCAUCUUUUCUUUUUUUUACAGUUCCUAUGCUAGUUUUUAUUUUAUUUUAGGUCAACUUUAAAUAAGGUGAGUUCUUAUCUAUUUACUGGAGUUUUGUAUGAGAGAGGCCAAGAUGGUAUUCAUGGUCAGCAGAAACUCUCCUCAUGAGACAGGGUUAUGUGCUACGUGUGUGAAUAAACUUUAUGUUUUGCUUCUCUGCAGCCUCCUUGAGAUCAGCACCAAUGGGAUGUCACAAUGCAGACUCUCUCCCCCACUCUUUCCUCAACUACAGACUACUUCCUGAAAAAUAUGAUUAGUUUAUGAUAUUUCUUGCUCAAAUCCGCUUCCUCAGCUUUUUCUCAGUACCAAACUGUCCAGAAAAGUUCCCACCACCGGAACCUCAUUCCAUUGUUGCAAACAAAGAGAUUAUUGAUUUUUCAUCUUAGGCUAUGCACUUCACGUUAGAGUCAUGGAUUCUGCUGGCUCUGUACAUUUCUGUUUGAUCUUCACUGCUUUUGGCAGACUUUUUUUCUGUUUUAGUUUCAAAUAUCUUCUAGUUGCAUCAGAUAUAGAGUUGACAUUACCGUUUCUUAUUCUUCUUAUUACUUUUGGGUGGCUAGGCAGUAAAGACCUAUGUUCUUUGCCAUAUUAAUACCUAGAUAAGAUCAGAAGAUGAUUUUGCAUUAAUUCUGCCUGGCAUUUAGUAGACUCUUCCAAUCCAAGUCUGGGAAAUGUUCUUUUUUUAUUUCUUUGAUAAUUGUCUCCCUUUUAUUCUUACAGUCCUAUAGCUGUAUAAUUUUAGUUAUAUUUAUCUUCUGUAUCUCUUAAUAUUGCUGUACUUUUUCUUUUUCUUUUUUUCUUUGAGACAGAGUCUUGCUCUGUUGCCCAGGCUGGAGUGCAGUGGCACAAUCUCGGCUCACUGCCCAGCUCUGCCUCCCGGGUUCACACCAUUCUUCCCCCUCAGCCUCUGAGUAUCUGGGACUGCAGACGCCCGCCACCAUGCCCAGAUAAUUUUUUUAUAUUUUUAGUAGAGACGGGGUUUCACCAUGUUAGCCAGGAUGGUCUCGAUCUCCUGACCUCAUGAUCCGCCCGUCUCUGCCUCCCAAAGUGCUGGGAUUACAGGCAUGAGCCACCACGCCUGGCCUAUUGCUGUACUUUUUCUUUUGUUCUUUUUUUUUCUUUUUUGCAUAAAUUUUGGAAAAGUCUCUCAGCUCAAUUUUCCAACUCAUUAAUUGUAUAUUCAGGUUAGGGUAAGGGUUAUUGUAUAUUUAGCCCAAUUAUUGGAUUUAGUCAUUUUUUUUUUUCUUUGAGAAGGAUUCUCACUCCAUCACCCAGACUGGAGUGCAGUGGCGCAAUAUCGGCUCACUGCAAUCUCUGCCUCCUGGGUUCAAGCAAUUCUCUUGCCUCAGCCUCCUGAGUAGCUGGGAUUACAGGCACCUGCCACCACGCCUAAGUUUUGUAUUUUUAGUAGAGACGGGGUUUCACCAUGUUGGCCAGGCUAGUCUUGAACUCCUGACCUCAGAUGAUCCACCCGCCUCAGCCUCCAAAAGUGCUGGGAUUACAGGCAUGAGCCACCAUGCCUGGCCGCAAUAAUAUUUUAAAAUUUCCAUGAAUUCUGGUUGUGUUUCAUAGCAGCUGUCUCUUGUUUCAAUGUGAUUUACUUUAAAGCAACUCUGAGGAUCUGAACUAUGUUUAAUUUCAAGUUUUUAUCUGUUUCUAUUGACUAUUCUUUUUAAGUGGGCUAGUUCUAUUUGUUAAAUUUGGUGCUCUCUUUAGUGCUCUUGGUUUCUCCAAAUGUUUGUUGGUUCUUUUGUUGUUGUUGUUCCAUUUGUAGGAACAGAAUUUCAGUCUAGACUGAAAUUCAUAGCUGGACGCAUUUCCUCACUUCAAAUGAGAACUCAUGUUUACCUGGCAGUGAAUGCAAGUUUUGAUUACAAGAAUCUGCCUCAUGGGAUUUGGUAGGGAUAGGCAGACUCUGUAGGUAACGUCUCUUCUUAGAAUAGUUUCCUGACCCUCCAGGGUAUUGUCCUUUUCCUCUGACCUUAGCUUACUCUGGAACAGUAAUAUGUUGGUAAAUGUUUGACAGCCAGCUCUGGGUGGAGUGGGGGAAGUCCUAGUUUGCAGCAUUUCCUGAUUUCCAUGCAAUGUAAAAUCUCCCACCCUAGCCAAUUUUCAAGCUAGCAACAUAACAGUCACUGAAUGGGGAGUUGAGAAGAGAUGUGCAAACUAGAUUCUUAAGAGACUGACUUCAUUUAGCAUACCAUUGCUGUGGGGCUGCUGUACUAUGUCAGAAAACUAUACCCAUGACUCUCAUCUAAGCCCAAACAAUGGAGCCAGCUGCUCCAAGAGCAACUCCAGGAAUUGAUGGGGACUUAGGGGUAUGGCUCCGUUAUUUCUUCAGUUAACAAAGUACUUUGUUCCUUUGAAUGGUUUUAGGUUCUUAUGCCCUGCUAGAUUUCUCUACUGAUUCCCACGUUUCUUAUUUUUUUCAAAAAUUCCUUUCUAUAUUGUUUGCUGGAAGCACCUUUUCUGGUUUUCCUGUGCUGCUUUGAAUUUAUUUUUCUAUUUCUUUGUGAUUUCAGUGGAAUUUGGAGAAGGAAUGGCAAAGCGGAAGUCCUUCUCCUAUUUGAUGUCUUAACUUGUUUUUACUGGAAGUCACUUCCUCUUUUGUCUCAGAGGCUGAUUCGCCUCCCAUAACCAGUGAUUUUCCUGUAAGCUCAUUAUCCUGGAUGAUGGCUUGACUAACCAAGGCUACUGGCUGCUGAGGGGUUUCUGAGGAAACUUUGGUAGCCUGAUUGAGGCCAUCUGCCUCUCCACCUGCACUGUAGUUGUGGAGUACACCACUCUGUUCAUGGAGGCCAUGCACACUGGCCAGAGAAGAGCAGCCCAUGUGCAAAAGGAUCCAAGUAAGCAUUUUCCAUUCUCACAGGUCAAAUAAGAGGACUUCCCACAUUUAUUCAGAAGGUAGUUGAAAGUGGUCAGCCCCAGAUCUCCCCUAUGUGACUCUUUGGUUGAUGCUACUUGUACCUCAACACUUGGAAGGCCCGUUCUGGACAGGAGCAACUUUCACUUUACUCUGGAAACGUGGGCAGGUGGGCACAGAAUAGAGUGAAUCUGAGGCAGAAACUCCUUCAGGCUAACUUUGUGACGGACACUGUUCUAAGUCUUCAGGUGAGUUAACUCAUUUAGUCUUCAAGACAAUCCUCUGAAGUAGGUAUUUUUAUCAUCCUCAGUUUACAGACACAGAAACUGAGACACAGAAAGGCCAUUCAGCCACUCAGUGGUUGAGGCAGGACUGACACUCAAGAAGUCUUGUGACAGUUGUAAUGAGUUAGUCGUGAUGGUGGCUACCAGGUAGGUGUGUGGAUAGAUAUGUAGUGGCCUCUCCUCCGAUGGAAAACUCCCAAAGCACUGAAACAGUCUGGUAGCUGUAGUUGCCGAGGUGUGUAGGGGCAUCGGUGAGCUCAGCAGACUGUGUUCCAAGUCACAUUAAAGAGGCAGAUUUAUUGCAAGCCUAUCUCCUAGAGACAGAAUGUAUUUUCCAAAAAUGGGCAACACACUGUGUCCCAUCUCACAUGCUGUUCUUAUAAUAUAACUUUGAUACUACAUUCUUAUUUAGAAAUGGAAGCCCAUGUUUCCUCCCUUUGAUGCUGGGCAGAAUUGUGACUACAAUGAAAAUAAUGCUAUAUGGCUUUUGAGGCUAGGUCCUAAAAGGUAAUGCAAUAUACGUACAGUUCUCUUGGAAUAUUUAAUAUUGAAAUCCGACCACCACGCUGUAAAGAAGACUGCAGCCCAUGGAGAAGUCCACACAGCCAGAAACUGAGGCCCAAGGCUCACAUCCCCAGCUGAGCUCCUGGCCUACAGCCAGCCCCAAGGUGCCGUCAUGUGAAUGAGACAUUUUGAAAGUGGAUCCCCCAGGCCCAGGCAAGCCAUUCCUGACAAUAAAAUGUGGAACAGAGAUGUGAUUCCUUUUUAAGACCUCCCCAAAUAACAGAUUCCUAAGCAAAAAUAAAGGACUGUUGUUGUUUUAAGCCACUAGGUUUUGGAGUGGUUUGUUAUGUGCCAUAGAUACAUUCCUGCAUAUUACCUGCUUGUCUCCAAAAAAUUCAAAACUCAGUCUAAUAGGUGGGACUUCCCCUGAGGGCUCUGGCAAUUAUCAAACUUUCCCCAUAACUUUCACCAAAUUAUUGAGCUGCUCCAGGAGAGGAAGAAUAUAAAGAGUAUAUUUACAAUUUUGUCUGGAAUUGGUGGGUUCUUGGUCUCGCUGACUUCAAGAAUGAAGCCACAAACCCUUGUGGUGAGUGUUACAGUUCUUAAAGAUGGUGUGUCUGCAGUUUAUUCCUUCAGAUGUUCAGAUGUGUCUGGAGUUUCUUCCUUCUCGUGGAUUCAUGGUCUCGCUGACUUCAGGAGUGAAGCUGCAGACCUUCGCGGUGAGUGUCACAGCUCUUAAAGGCGGCGCAUCUGGAGUUGUUCAUUCUUUCCCAUGGGUUCGUGGUCUUGCUGGCCUCAGGAGUGAAGCUGCAGACCUUCACGGUGAAUGUUAUAGCUCUUAAAGGUGGUGCGGACCCAAAGAGUGAGCAGCAGCAAAAUUUAUUGUGAAGAGCGAAAGAACAAAGUUUCCACAGCAUGGAAGGGGACCCAAGCAUGUUGACACUGUUGGCUCAGACAGCCUGCUUCUAUUCCCUAAUCUGGCCCCACCCACAUCCUGAUGAUUGGUCCAUUUUACAGAGAGCUGAUCGGUCCAUUUUGACAGAGUGCUGAUUGGUGCAUUUACAAUCCCUGAGCUAGACACAGAGUACUGAUUGGUGCAUAUACAAUCCUCCAGCUAGACAUGAAAGUUCUCUAAGUCCCCACCCAACUCAGGAGCCCAGCUGGCUUCGCCUAGUGGAUCCCACGCUGGGGCCAUGGGUGGAGCUGCUCAUCAGUCCCACACCACGUGCCUGCACUCCUCAGCCCUUGGGCGGUCGAUGGGACUGGGCACCGUGGAGCAGGGGCAGGGGGUGGUGCCCGUCGGGGAGGCUCUGGCUGCACGGGAGCCCACUGGUGUUGAGGGAGCUCAGGCAUGGUGGGCUGCAGGUCCUGAGCACUGCCCCGCAGGGAGGCGGCUGAGGCCCUGUGAGAAUUUGAGUGCAGCGCGGGCAGGCCAGCAGUGCUGGGGGACCCAGUGCACCCUCCACAGCUGCUGGCCCGGGUGCUAAGCCCCUCACUGCCCGGGGCCGGCAGCGCCAGCCAGCCACUCUGAGUGCAGGGCCCGCUGAGCCCACGCCCACCCGGAACUCACGCUGGCCCGCGAGCACCGUGUGCAGCCCCGGUUCCCGCCCCCGCCUCUCCCUCCACACCUCCCCGCAAGCAGAGGGAGCCAGCUCCAGCCUCGGCCAGCCCAGAGAGGGGCUCCCACAGUGCAGCAGUGGGUUGAAGGGCUCCUCAAGUGCAGCCAGAGUGGACACCGAGGCCGAGGAGGCCUCUCAAUCCCCCCUCUAAACAGGACACCCCAACUGCUGUUGGGAAUUUGGCCAAUGACCGCUCUAGCUACUUCCUGCUGGAUAGGGAUGAUGAAGGGGUCCUGCAGUUGUAGUGUCCUCCAGAGGGGAACUCUCUAGGCCAGUGAAAGUGCCAGCAGGUUGGUUCAGGGAUCCUCGGUAGAAGUUGUUAGUUGAACUCAUUUGGGGUUCCAUUUGUAAGACCAUCUGUAGCUUGAUGGCCUCGAUUCUAGAGGAAACAAAUUUAACAAGGAUGUUAAAAAUACAGGGUCCAUAGGCAAGUAACAGCAAGAUGGCUGCCACGGGAUCUAGAAAGGGGAGAAGCCAUGUUGCCCAACUCCAGAGGUUGGUAUAAGAAUUUGACAGGCGUUGCCUGAUUUCAGGAGCCUUUUCCUGUAAACGCCAGGUGGCAUCUUGUACUAUCCCUGACUGGUUAGUGUAAAAACAACACUCUUCCCCUAAGAAGGUACAGAGUCCUCCUUUCUCAGCAGUGAGGAGGUCUAUGCCUCAGUGGUUUUGGAGAGUCACUGCUGCCAAAGAGUCUAUUUGGGAUUGUAGAGUAAGCAUAGAUUUCGUUAUUUCUUGCAAACUAUCUGAGAAAGCCUUUGAGAGUGUGUGGUAGGUAGUAGGGUAAUGAAAUAGAUAAACUGGCUAUUUCGGUUCCUGUAGCAGUAGCCAUUCCUAACCCUAUAAGUAGGGGUAUUAGUUGUAUGGCUCUGUGCUGAUGGACUUGAGCUUUGAGGGAUACUGAUAAGGUCUGGUUUCCUGGGGCAAUGUUAAUGUUGGGACUUAGAAAGACUAAGGUGCAGGUCCUGUCCAGUUAGUGGGGAGGCAAAUAUAGGUUGAUGUUCCACAUAAGAAGAAUAUACCUUGCUGGGUAGACAGAACUGGUUGUGUAUGUUAAAAAGGUGUGUGUAUUUGUUGUUUUCAUUUUCCCAUACUCCUAGAGUACUUGCCAAGGUAGCUCCAGUGAGUGGCUGGAAAGGGGUGUUGGGAGCAAACUGAGUGGCUCCCUGUGUUCUAUUUUCCCAUUGGAGAAAAAAACGUUUUGUAUCCACUAGGAACCAUUCGAGACAGUGAUUGAAAUAGGGGAUUAGAAGGCAUUCACUAGUGGUGGGGGAGCUGCUAUGGGGGGUCCAGGGGUGAAUGGUCAUGCAGGGAGUAUGUUUGCCAUUACCAAACUUGGACUGUUCAUUAAGCAGGGAGGAGGUGAUGAUUUUUGGGGGCCCUGAGAAGUGGACAAGCCAUCUGAAUGGAGCUGUCUGGGUGACUCGGAAGUUACUAUGAUCAGCUGGGGCUUGAAGUUGUAGGGUGUAAUUACACUGAUGCGUUAGUAGGUGCCCCAGGGGCAGGCCUGAUAACAGGUUGCGUUGGAUGCAUAAAGGGGCUUGGAAAGUUAAGAUGGUAUUCAUAGUUACCAGGCCAUGUAUGGGCUUUUCAUUGCUUGUGUAAUAGGUGAGGUUGGAAAUGUAAGAACGUAAAAGUUGGAUUGCACGUCCUGUUAGGGUAUUCUUGGUCCUAUCAGGGAUGGAGAAGUUGGCUAAUGAUUGUAUUUUUAGAAGUCAGAAAGAGUCUUUUCCUUCAUAACAAGGGUGGUAGGUUAAAUUGGUAAAGAAAGACCCAGUUUUUUGCGGGAAUGGGAGUGGCAACAUAAGCAGAGGUUGAUAGAGAGAUACAAAGCCAACAGUCAUUUGCCAGGGAAGGAUUGGACUGGUUUAACAGACAGUGGGUUAAAUUGAUAGUCUUUUAGAGGUAAUUAGGAGCUAGUGGAAGGGGAGGGGUGAUUGUAUGAGGUAUCCAAGGAAGCAGGAGGGAUACAUAGGCAAUGAGCAAAUAGGAAGAUAAAGGGGGUGCUCUGGAAGAAGAGAUCAUUUUAUCAAGUCUGAGUUAAAAGUAGGAGUAAACUGCUGUCAAAAGGAAGGAAGAUAGAAAGAAGGUUGAUGUGAUUAGGAUUUUUGUCCAGGCAGGAGCUACAGUAUAUAGUCCUAUCGCAAAGAGUAUGGUUAAAGCUGUUUUCACUUAUCUUUUUUAAGGAGGAAGGGGUUUUUCCUCAGGAUCAGUGGUAGGAGCCUUUUUAGUCUGGGAUGUUUCCUUCUAAAAUAGGAGAUGCAAAUCCUCCAAUGGUUCGCAGGUGUAUCGAGGCUGGUCUGGCUGAUCUUGGGACUCCUAAGCUGAUAGUCCUGCAGGUUCCUCAGGGGGUGUUCAAAGUUUAACUUGGGUGUGGUGAAUCCAAGAUUCCACUCCUGCCACCUUAAGUGCAGUGAGUAGAGAGGAUUAGCAAGUGUGGUCCUUCCCACAAAGAGUCCAUAGAUGGGGAGGUAGAGGGGAGAGAUUUGACCAACACUAGAUCUCCUAGUUGAAACAACUCUGUUCCCUUUUCUCUGUGAC